GAUGAACGCUGGCGGCGUGCCUAAUACAUGCAAGUCGAGCGAACAGACGAGGAGCUUGCUCCUCUGACGUUAGCGGCGGACGGGUGAGUAACACGUGGAUAACCUACCUAUAAGACUGGGAUAACUUCGGGAAACCGGAGCUAAUACCGGAUAAUAUAUUGAACCGCAUGGUUCAAUAGUGAAAGACGGUUUUGCUGUCACUUAUAGAUGGAUCCGCGCCGCAUUAGCUAGUUGGUAAGGUAACGGCUUACCAAGGCAACGAUGCGUAGCCGACCUGAGAGGGUGAUCGGCCACACUGGAACUGAGACACGGUCCAGGCUCCUACGGGAGGCAGCAGUAGGGAAUCUUCCGCAAUGGGCGAAAGCCUGACGGAGCAACGCCGCGUGAGUGAUGAAGGGCUUCGGAUCGUAAAACUCUGUUAUUAGGGAAGAACAAAUGUGUAAGUAACUAUGCACGUCUUGACGGUACCUAAGCAGAAAGCCACGGCUAACUACGU
rnacentral:rRNA from 1 species